rnacentral:rRNA from 1 species
UACAGAGGGGGCGAGCGUUAUUCGGAAUUAUUGGGCGUAAAGGGCGCGUAGGCGGCUUGGCAAGUCAAAGGUGAAAUCCCUCGGCUCAACCGAGGAACUGCCUUUGAAACUGCCUCGCUCGAGGCCGGGAGAGGGUAGUGGAAUUCCCAGUGUAGCGGUGAAAUGCGUAGAUAUUGGGAGGAACACCGGUGGCGAAGGCGGCUACCUGGACCGGUUCUGACGCUGAGGCGCGAAAGCGUGGGGAUCAAACAGG